AAUAUGCUUCAUUCAAUUCACACUUCAUGCACGUACCUCGUCAGUAAAACCAUACACAUACAGUACAGUACAGAAUACUCCUAUAGACCAACAUGACUGUUACUAUUUUUGUGGUGCUUGUCGUCUUGGUAGCAUACGUCCAAUGUGCGACCCAUUAUAUUCCACAGACAGACUGUGUUUACAAUGGCGCAGUCGUCAAGGAUGGGGACCAGUUUGAUCGUACUGAGGAUUGUGAAACCUGUCAAUGUUAUAAAGGAGGGAUUUCUUGUUAUGGGUUUGGUCAAAAGAUUGUGAACCAUCGAAGUGAUUGCAAAAUAGUAACAGUUGAAAACUGUUGGGAGGAAGCCGUUUUAGUCUCAGAAGAAAGUACACCGUGUCCAUCUUUUUCUGCAGUACCAAUGGGUCGGAAGUGAUUGGCAAUAGUGCAAUAUUCUCCUUAAUAUUUGUAUAUUGAAAUUUAUGAUAAAAUCUCUUGUAAUAACCUUUAAUCUCUGACAAUCAAUUGAUGACCAAUUUUGAAAUUAGAAUUUAAAGUUGAUAAAAUUAUGUCAGUACAAUUGAUACAUGUAUGAAAAUGAACGAAUUGUUGUAUAUUUGCAUCAGUGAUAAAAUAAAAACUAUGUUAAAACAUUUUAAAA